UACGUAGGGUCCGAGCGUUAAUCGGAAUUACUGGGCGUAAAGCGUGCGCAGGCGGUUUUGUAAGCCAGAUGUGAAAGCCCCGGGCUUAACCUGGGAAUGGCAUUUGGGACUGCAAGGCUGGAGUACGGCAGAGGGAGGUGGAAUUCCACGUGUAGCAGUGAAAUGCGUAGAUAUGUGGAGGAACACCGAUGGCGAAGGCAGCCCCCUGGGUCAAAACUGACGCUCAUGCACGAAAGCGUGGGGAGCAAACAGG
rnacentral:rRNA from 1 species